UCCAUGCUGGUCCCCUGCUUCCUUGAUCACUGGAGGAGGUCCCUACCUCUUCGUCAACAACCAAUGUCUCCUCCAAGCCACUCCAGCUAUGCAUGCUCAGAAGCUACACCAGCUGCCUCCAAAACACCUGUUUCCAGCAUCCUUCAUUUAUAUGAAAGAGCCAGUAUAGGUAAAUCCAUAGAAACAGAAAACAAAUUUAUAGUUACCAGGAGUGGUGGGGGUUGGGGGGAUA
rnacentral:lncRNA from 1 species